UACGAAGGGGGCUAGCGUUGCUCGGAAUCACUGGGCGUAAAGGGCGCGUAGGCGGCUUUGUAAGUCGGGGGUGAAAGCCUGUGGCUCAACCACAGAAUUGCCUUCGAUACUGCAUGGCUUGAGACCGGAAGAGGUUAGUGGAACUGCGAGUGUAGAGGUGAAAUUCGUAGAUAUUCGCAAGAACACCAGUGGCGAAGGCGGCUGACUGGUCCGGUUCUGACGCUGAGGCGGCGAAAAGCGUGGGGAGCAACAGG
rnacentral:rRNA from 1 species